UUGUCAGCUAAUAGUAGCUCUUAAAGGUCAGAUCGAUUGAUGUUUUUUUUUCUCGAGUUUUUUCUUGUCUCUCAGUUCAGUAGUUUUCGGUUAGUUAGUUCUCUAUAAUACCAGUAAUUUUUGAUGGGCGUUUAGAGUUAACCUUUGCAGGGUUUCACAUGACAUUUCGCUGGAGACCGGAGCUGCAAAGCGUUGAUGGUCAGUUACAGACAGAUCAAUUGAUCUGAUACUGGAAAUAGAGGAUGAGUCAAUUCAGUUUGACGAUGACCACAUAUGACCCCGAAAAUGUUACUAAACAAUUCUGCGAAGGGAGACUCUAUUUUCGCCUUCGAAAAUUUGAUUGGUGCAGGCCAAUCAAAUUUUCGAAAAUUAAGCAGGGAAUGAUGUAGCACGGUACUGAUUUCGACUUUUGGAAGCCCCUCGUUUCGUUAUUUUGAAUUUCAGAUCCAACACAAUCUCUCCUGUGUGGAUCUGGGAUUCUCUCUUCUUUCUAUGUAUUGGAUGUUUGGCAACGCGAGUGCCGCUCCCGAUUUUAGAUUUGAGCAACUAGCGAUAAUGGGUGCUGGGUGUGACUGGGCGGCUGUUUUAGCCAAGACACCCACAUACCAACACUCCGAAAGACUCAUGCUUUCUUUUUUUUGCUAUUUUUUCAUUUGGAUAUUUCCCCCAAAUAGCAGAGUCUUUCGGCGGGGUUUUCUUGUUCUUCAAAUUUCAAAACCCGGCGAGCGCUUCGACUUGAACUCUGCUCGGGAGGUUAAAGGGUAUCGCCCGCGAAUGCUUGAAUGCGCGACCAAUGAAAGCGCAGGGGAAUUUCGGUGUGAAUACGGAAUAGUUAACAUCGUUAACUAUUACGUAAUUCCGGUUCCAAUGAAUGUCUCGCUGAUCUGAGGAUCUUGAGAUAUGCUUGCCCAUUCCGACUUCGACCGUGGAAUAGGCAGGGCGGACCAGUUUUUUUUGCAUCGCGAGUGGACGGUAAAAAGUUAGUUUAAAAUAAGUUUUUCCGAGAAAUCGAAAAGUGUAAUUCUUCGCUUGUGUUCCCGUUUAGCGAAAUCAAAGGAAGGAGCCGUAUCCUGACCCCAUGAUCGAAGAUUGGAUCUUCGCCACCACAUCAGUCAAACCAGGUGGCCGCGCGAAGCGCGAAUCGUCACUCGAAUCAAGGGAAGGCGCCGCACGGCACCACUACACGUCGGAUGCGCAUUCAACGUCUACGUCCCAUCAUCUACGCCUACGGACUCGUCAUUCAUCGCCUACCGUGGAACGGCGGUAAAGUAGAUGCACGUAAAGCCUAGGUAGUGUGAGUACAAAACUUCUUUCACCCUAAAAAUAACAUGCGCAUGUAGGGUUAAGAUCAAAAAUAAAAACCACACACAAAUUAACAACGCCACACAAAAAAAUGCCACACAAUUUAGAAGCAUAGAGCAAUACCGUCAGCGUGCACAUGCUGCUCGCUAGCAAGAAGGGUUCACACAAGAUGGAGAAUUAGACUCGAUAGUAAGAUCGC